AAACAAUGCAGACAACCAGGAUAUAUCAAUGGUGUAAAAUCAAUGUCUGCAGCUGUUAGACUCGAAUACUUGCUUGGGCGUGAGGAUGUUUACUUUUUUUUCUUAUAAUGUUUCUUGAUUUUCUUAUUCUACUCCGGCUCAUUUUGCACUCAGAAGCGGUGUGACGACAAUAAGCAGUUGAGCUUUCACUGCUGCAUUAGUCUGGACAGCGAGCAACAAGGAGGGAGGGCAUAAAGCUGUCAACGUUGCAUAUAUUAUGCUCUUUCAUCUUUAUAAUAGCCUCGAGCGACUGCAAGCGACCACGAGGUUUCGACAAUCGUCUCAUUAAUAUUUCCUAUAAAGAAGAGAUAUUAAGAAGCACUUCCAAGUUUGAAGGUCAUCCAGCCAGCAAUUGGUGCACAUCCUCUCCACAACGUAGCAGCGGUGGUGCUUGAGGGAACUCCGUCUGGAGCUGACAAAUCCCAAGCUCUUGCUAGAAAUAUCAUCACUUUUAUUUCCCGUGAUGAAGGAAGAAUGUAUCAUCGAACCCGCAACCGCAACAGGCACCAGAUCCGUCGAGCUGAAGGUAGCUGUUGUGGUCGGAGCCAUAGCAAUCCUCCUUUCCAUGAUAGCAAUCAUCCUUUUCAUCACCUGGAAAUUGCAAGGGCGAGCUAAUGCUAGAAAAAUGGAACCCAUUAACCGGUGUUUGGAGGAUGUUCCACGGACGACUGGACGACGCAGACAAGAUGCAGUGAACAUCCUACCAGAUCUUCCUUCUGAUCCUAACUUUGACUACGCAGAAGCGGAACUCACGCGUAUUCGCGCACGCUCACACACGAGCACCCCUCGUCACUGAGGCCAUGCCGAAAUCCUGGAAACGACCGAGUCCAGGGCUCGGCAAGCGUUUCCCGGGUGCCGACGAGCUCCCGCGCUCGUGCCACCUCCGUCGGAGAGGUUCGCGAGUGGCCUCACCUUGUUUUUUUUUCUUUUCGCCAAGCAAGCGGAGGUUCAGCACAAACCUUUUCUCCGCGCUUCUCGACACAUCUCAGUUUCGUCUUCCUACUCCGUCUCGACGCCAUCUCUCUCUCUCUUCCUUCCGGUGUGCUGAGCCAAAAAGAAACAAACUGGUUUCUGAGAUUGCUUGUAAAUAAGUUAUGUUGGUGUAGAAGCUUGCUGUUUCUCAUGUGCCGAGUGGUGGCUCAAUCACGACGCUGAACUGGGUGCUUUACCUGUGCAUGGAAUCAGCCCAUGGAAUUUUCGAAUGAUGUUGGUCCUGCUCUUUCGACAACUGGUUCUGCUCGACAUAAGCCAUGCUGUGUGAGAUUAUUAUAUAGAUUAGGAUUUUUGCUUAUGGUGCUCGCAGUGUAACGGUUUCUAAAGUUCGAAUGGUUUGUGGACCACGCGGACCGCCAGACGUUCUUGUGUCCAGCUUUCGGAGGGUUUUAGUGGUCUCUUCGAUUUCUUAACUAGAAUAACCACAAGUGGGCGAUUCCGAGACUCCUCAGGUGUGAGAAUCUACAACCUCGUCUCGCAUUGAAGUAGUGUUGGUUAAACUGGGAGUUCACCUUGCCUUUAUAACGAUCAGAAGAACAAAUAAAUAAAAAUAUAUAUAUUUUGUUCA